rnacentral:misc_RNA from 1 species
GAUGAAGAACGUAGCGAAAUGCGAUAAGUAAUGUGAAUUGCAGAAUUCAGUGAAUCAUCGAAUCUUUGAACGCACAUUGCGCCCCCUGGUAUUCCGGGGGGCAUGCCUGUCCGAGCGUCAUUACAACCCUCAAGCUCAGCUUGGUGUUGGGCCCCGCCGCCCCGGCGGGCCCUAAAGUCAGUGGCGGUGCCGUCCGGCUCCGAGCGUAGUAAUUCUUCUCGCUCUGGAGGUCCGGUCGUGUGCUCGCCAGCAACCCCCAAUUUUUUUCAGGUUGACCUCGGAUCAGGUAGGGAUACCCGCUGAACUUAAGCAUAUCAAUAAGCGGGGA